GUUUAUAGCUUCCGCAUCUAAAGCAUUCUUUACAUAUUUGCUAUCUUCACAUCUAUCAGGUGCAGUCCAAGGUGAAAUCAUACAAAUUGAGCACACAGAGAAAGAAAAGACAACAUAAAAAUCUAGAUAAAAAGGGUUUGCACUUGGCUAUCAUUCUAUGGGUAUGAUCACAAGCAAGAUAUCAGGAAACAAGAGUUUACAUGAUCAUUUAGCAGUAAUAUUAUUUACAGUCGUCUACCUCACUAAAAUUGGCAGCCAGACAGAAAAUUUGUUUUAAUAAAGAGGACAUUAAAGAAAGUUAAUGCUUAUAUUAAAACAUAUCGAAAAAGGAAAGGAUAUCAGACACAUAAGUGAAACAUCCUCAUGGCACAACAUAAGAAGGACCCCAUAUUUAGCCGUGUGUACUUGCUCUUUAAUUUUCUAAGAACCAUAAUGUUAGGGUUUGAGAACUCUAA
rnacentral:misc_RNA from 1 species